GAAAUGCGAUAAGUAAUGUGAAUUGCAGAAUUCAGUGAAUCAUCGAAUCUUUGAACGCACCUUGCGCUCCUUGGUAUUCCUUGGAGCAUGCCUGUUUGAGUAUCAUGAACUCUUCAAAGUAAAUCUUUUGUUAACUCAAUUGGUUUCUACUUUGGUAUUGGAGGUCUUUGCAGCUUCACACCUGCUCCUCUUUGUUCAUUAGCUGGAUCUCAGUGUUAUGCUUGGUUCCACUCGGCGUGAUAAGUUAUCUAUCGCUGAGGACACUGUAAAAGGUGGCCAAGGUAAAUGCAGAUGAACCGCUGCUAAUAGUCCAUUGACUUGGACAAUACUUUUAUGAUCUGAUCUCAAAUCAGGUAGGACUACCCGCUGAACUUAAGC
rnacentral:misc_RNA from 1 species